AUUGAACGCUGGCGGCAUGCCUUACACAUGCAAGUCGAACGGUAACAGAUCUUCGGAUGCUGACGAGUGGCGAACGGGUGAGUAAUACAUCGGAACGUGCCUAGUAGUGGGGGAUAACUACUCGAAAGAGUGGCUAAUACCGCAUGAGAUCUACGGAUGAAAGCAGGGGAUCGCAAGACCUUGUGCUACUAGAGCGGCCGAUGGCAGAUUAGGUAGUUGGUGGGAUAAAAGCUUACCAAGCCGACGAUCUGUAGCUGGUCUGAGAGGACGAUCAGCCACACUGGGACUGAGACACGGCCCAGACUGCUACGGGAGGCAGCAGUGGGGAAUUUUGGACAAUGGGCGCAAGCCUGAUCCAGCAAUGCCGCGUGCAGGAUGAAGGCCUUCGGGUUGUAAACUGCUUUUGUACGGAACGAAAAGCCCUGGGUUAAUACCCUGGGGUCAUGACGGUACCGUAAGAAUAAGCACCGGCUAACUACGUGCCAGCAGCCGCAGUAACAC
rnacentral:rRNA from 1 species